rnacentral:rRNA from 1 species
UGCCAGCCGCCGCGGUAAUACGGAGGAUCCAAGCGUUAUCCGGAUUUAUUGGGUUUAAAGGGUGCGCAGGCGGACUAAUUAGUCAGUGGUGAAAUCUCUCGGCUCAACCGAGAAACUGCCAUUGAUACUGUUAGUCUUGAGUGUGGUUGUGGUAGGCGGAAUAUAGCAUGUAGCGGUGAAAUGCUUAGAUAUGCUAUAGAACACCGAUCGCGAAGGCAGCUUACCAAGCCAUUACUGACGCUCAGGCACGAAAGCGUGGGGAGCAAACAGGAUUAGAUA